AGGACGAACGCUGGCGGCGUGCCUAAUACAUGCAAGUCGAACGGUCUUUCUAUGGAAGCUUGCUUCCACUGAGAAGAUAGUGGCGAACGGGUGAGUAACACGUGGGUAACCUGCCCAUAAGAGGGGGGAUAACAUCCGGAAACGGGUGCUAAUACCGCAUAGUUUUCUUGAUCGCAUGAUCGGGAAAGGAAAGACGGCCUUUGUGCUGUCGCUUAUGGAUGGACCCGCGGCGUAUUAGUUAGUUGGUGAGGUAACGGCUCACCAAGACGAUGAUACGUAGCCGACCUGAGAGGGUGAUCGGCCACAUUGGGACUGAGACACGGCCCAAACUCCUACGGGAGGCAGCAGUAGGGAAUCUUCCGCAAUGGACGAAAGUCUGACGGAGCAACGCCGCGUGAGUGAAGAAAGGUUUUCGGAUCGUAAAACUCUGUUGUCAGAGAAGAACAAGUUGGAGAGUAACUGCUCCAGCCUUGACGGUAUCUGGCCAGAAAGCCACGGCUAACUACGUGCCAGCAGCCGC
rnacentral:rRNA from 1 species